GGUCACGUGAUGUCAACAACGAUUUAGUCGUCGCCUUGCCGUGUAUAGCCGGCCUCUGGCCUUGCUAUAUAGCGGGUUUACUAUCAGGCAACAAAGGCAGUCAUCUGGAAAUGGGCCCCAAAAAAAUACCUAGCUCUAGCUUGUCUUUUCGGCAGAGCAAAGAACCAUUUGAAGCCCCAGCAUUAGUAUUUCGCUUUCAUGAAAAUGGUGGUGGACCAGAGCUUUUACGUGAAGUCUUUGAAGAACGUGGAUGGGUGGAGUAUCAGAAUAAAGAACAGGAAGAUGAUAACUGGAAUCUUUGGUGGCGCAGUUCCUACUUUAACAUCCGUGACUAUGAGAACAUCUGUCCUUGGCAGCACCUCAACCAUUUUCCAAAAACCUCAGCUAUAACUAAGAAAGAUGCUCUUGUGCGUAACUUAAGGCGCAUGCAAUGUUUACAUGGAAGUAAUAUCUUCAACUUCAGCCCCCUGUCAUUCAAUCUUCCAAAUGACUACCAUAAGUUUCUGAAAGAGCAUGAAGCUAUGCGUGAUACUUCUAAAAAGAAGAUACUGUGGAUUUGCAAACCAGCAGAUUUAUCUUGUGGUCGUGGUAUCUUUAUUUUCCAGGAUGUGUCAGGUCUGCUGUAUGACUGUGGCUCUGUUGUCCAGCAGUAUAUUGAGAAUCCAUUGCUGAUUGGAGGCUACAAGUUUGACCUGAGAAUAUAUAUAGUUGUCACUGCCUUCCAUCCGCUAGUAGUCUAUGCAUAUGAAGAAGGCAUUGUAAGGUUUAGCACAGAAAAAUUUGACUUGAAUAAAACUGACAAUAUAUUUGCUCACCUCACCAACUUUUCCAUCAACAAAUAUUCCCCUGCCUACACAGUCAACAAGCAGCUGGUGGGGGCUGGCUGCAAGUGGACUUUGAAGCAACUGCGGCAUUAUUUUUUCAUUAACAACAUCGACGAUAGAAUGCUGUGGCGACAGAUUAUUAACAUUGUUGUUCUUACCUUGAUGACACAGGCUCCCCUGGUACCAAAAGUGAAAAAUUGUUUUGAACUUUUUGGUUUUGAUGUACUCGUGGAUGAAACAAUGAAACCGUGGCUGUUAGAGGUGAAUUGUAGUCCAUCCCUUCUGUCUGACUGUGUGACUGAUAUUCAGGUCAAAAAGCAGAUGUUGCAUGAUCUCAUAGACCUGAUAGGAUUAGCAGGAAAGGAUCAGGAGCCUGUUAAGAUGGAAAGUCACAGAAAGUAUUUUCAUCAAGGUAGCCAAGGUCACAGUGUGUAUACAGGGCAAGGUAAGAGGACCAGCAUGAUUGCCCAAGACAGUCGGCAAGGAGGCAAAGAAAAACCAGAGGCAGAGAGAGGCUUUAGCAGCCGUGAGCAGAAAGAUCACCAGAUCAGGAGAGGAAGUAGCUGGGAAGGUGUACAAGGAGCUAAGAAAAGUGAAAGGACUGAAGGUUUUGGAGGACGGAGUGAGCUUUUAGAGAGAUGUUCAGAACCGAGUUGUUCAGCACUGAAGCCUAGGGCUGUUCCAGUGCAUCUGUCUUUCAAGAAGAAUAGAGACUGUUUGAGCCAUCACUCUCAGGAUUCCAUAUAUUCAAGUGAGGCAGUAUCAGACUGCCAUCAACAAGGCAAAGAUUUACGCCAGCACUUAAAGUCACCAAAUGCUAAGCGCCAAAGGAAAACAAAGUCACUGAACCUCAGGAAGCAAGUAGGCAGUUUCCACCUUAUAUUUCCUUUCAGCGAGAAAACAGAGAAAACUGCUCAGACAUCCCUAGACCCCAGAGUAGUGAUUAAGGAACUGCAGCGCAUGCUUAGUGAAUUUGAUGAACUUGGUGAUCAACAAAGUAAUGACUUUAGUUCUUUGAAAGAAGACAGCUUCAUGGAAAAUCAAGGCCUAUGGGGACCUCUGAUAAUGAACAAGAUAGAAUUAUGAAGUCAAGAAAACUGCUUGAUUCUAAUAAAGAGUUAAUUGCAUAAUACAUCCCUUGACAAGUCAUCUUCAGAGUGAUUAGGAAGCAAAGAUUUCUGAAAGCACAUGCAAUUCUAAGUGAUGACAGGCAUUUCUUGUCAAGCGUUACAUCAACUUCCAUCGUGUCACCAAUUCUGUGUACCUACAUGCAGCACCAACAGAUUGAGUCGUGCCCAUCACGGCCAUAAAGACAGACCAUACGCUGGCACACUGCCACUGGCAAAGGGACACUUCUGAGGUCGGGAUUUUUAGGACCAGACUUUGACAAAAAACGACAACCGGCUUAACGACAUUCUUAUGGGCAUGCUUUUUACAACCCAGAAUCAGAAGACACGGCUGGAACAAAUCUCUCGUUUUUUAAGACCGGAAAGAGUACAUUUCGACCCUCCGGUUAUCGUAAUGCCAGCCACCGAGAUGACUGGAGUUUUAUCUGAUAGCUCUAUAGUCUUCUGGUUCAACGGGGAGUAGGGGCUCAAGGGC
rnacentral:misc_RNA from 1 species